AGAAAGGGUGACCUGGAAGGUGUGUGAGGGCCCCGCCCACGGGCCCCUGUGAUGGUCAUGGCCUCAAGAAUCACAGUCCAGUUUCCAUCAUUAUCUUCUAUGGAGUUCUUCAUUCCCACAUCUGUGGCCCUUAAAAUCCUACGGUUGAGUGCCUGCCUUGGAUCAGCAGUCAGUUCAUUACCUUGGUUCUCAGACGAUGCUUGCAACAACGCCAUGCGAUUCGCCCACUCUUGGGUAGAUGGAGACAUUGGGGCUCAGGUGUGGGCAGUUUUAAGAAGAAUGCAUUGAUUCUACAACAUGCUAUUGUGAAGCCAUCCAGGACUGUUCACUCACUUAUUUAAGAAAGGUAUAUUUUCCACUUGGGGUGUGAGAAAAAGUGUGGUGUUCACUCAUUGUUCUUCCUAUCUGGCUUUUAUUUUUCUUACUUUUAGAGAAAAUAAGAGAAGUAUCCCUGAAGGAUGAAAUAUCCUCAAAUAUGAAAAUGUCUGCUCUCUGAAGACCAACUGUCUUAGUCUGCUUUUUGCUGCUGUAACAGAAUACCACAGACUUGGUAAUUUA
ensembl:lincRNA